GCUACUUAAUAUUCUUAACAAGGAUUUACUAACGUAAUAGUAAAUGGAUCAGAUUAAAUUCCUACUUAAGUAAAAGUAUAAAGUAUCCGUAGCCGUAAAAUGUGCGUUAUAAGUCAAAAGUAAAAGUAUUUAUGAAGAGUUUAAUGUACAGGAUUUAAACCAGGUCUAACCACUAACUGAGGUCUAAACUAGGACUAAACCAAGACUAAACCUGGACGUACAGAUACAGACUCUAAAAUGUAGUGAAGUAAAAGUAUUCAUCAUAAAAUUUACUUCAGUUAAGUAAAAGUACCUAUAAUUUUUUACAAUACAUUCUGAUAUAGGUGACAAGAUGCCUGUUAGCAUGAUGUUAAAUGUUUUUUUCUUUUUUCAGCAUUGGCAGAGACACCCUGGCUGAUAUAGUCAAACACUAUGAGGAGAAUGGGGCAAGAUCACGUUUGAGGAAGAAGCACUCACUGCCACGUCCACCAGCCAGGUUCAUCAGCCCUGAGGAUAUCAACAGAGUUGUGGACAUAAUAAAAAACUAUGCAGAAGACAAUGCCAUCAUGCUGCCUGGCGACAGCCUGGGCAUAAGGAUUGGCAUGUGAAGUUGCUGCCAACUCAUGUGUCCAAGGCCUUAGUGUGGCGUCUCUACAUGAAGUCUGCCAAGGAGCUUGGUGAGCGUGCAGUUUGUAAAACCAGCUUCAAAGCACUGUGGAACCAACUUCUCCCACACAUCAAAAGUUGCCGGCCGCGCAUAGAUCUCUGCUGGCAGUGCCAAAGCAAUAACGAGCAGCUGAUACAAAGUCCAAACCUCCCAGAUGAUAGAAAGUCUAAAGCGGUAAAGAAACAACAAGAUCAUCUUUCCCUUGUGCAGAAAGAGAGGGCUGUGUACAACGACAUGACUGCUGCCUGCAGAAAGAUUUGCUCUGGCUCUAAUCUGUCUUUUGGACCGUCCCUACCAGCAAGCAAGAAGAUUAGGAUGCAUUACAGUUUUGAUUUUGCUCAGUAGUUACACUUUCCCUCAAACCCUCUCCAGCCAGGACCAAUGUACUUCCUGACCCCACGGAAAUGUAGCCUAUUUGGUGUUUCCUGUGAAGGGCUGCAGAAACAGGUGAAUUACCUGAUUGAUGAAGGCAUGUCAUCUACUAAGGGAAGCAAUGAAGUCAUCAGCUACACGCAUCAUUUCUUCGGCAACUUUGGAGUUGGAGAAACAGAGGUGGAUCUUCAUUGUGACAACUGCAGUGGGCAGAACAAGAACAACUUCAUGCUCUGGUACCUUGCCUGGCGGGUUGGACACAAGCUUCACGAUAAAAUUGAAAUCCACUUCCUUAUUGCUGGCCACACCAAGUUUUCCCCUGACUGUGGCUUUGGACUCAUCAAGCAAGCCUACAUGAAGACAAGAGUCAACACUUUGGCAGACAUCGCUGAGGUUGUGGAAAACAGCUCUCCUGUGAGUCACCUCAAUAUCCCACAGCUUGUUGGAACGGCAGAGGGCAAAGUUUAGUCCAGACCUUCGACUGGCAGCAGCAUCUGACUCACCACUUCCGUAGACUCCCACAGAUCAAGAGCUAUCAGCACUUCAGCCAAGAGACCAGGUGUGGUGCUUGCAAAAACUCACCGUGAUGCACAAUAUCGGCUACUGCGCGACAGAGCAGAUCUGCCCCCUAUCGACGGUCUUCCUGUCCUGGCCCCACCUGGACUGAACAUUGACAGGCAGACCUAUCUGUAUGAAAAAAUCAGGCCAUUGUGUGCUGACGAGGCAGGAGACAUCACAUGCCCAGCGCCAAGGGUCACAACACAGAAGAGACCACAGAAGAGGAUGCAAAUGUGAUAUCAUUGGAUAUCAUUUGACAUUGAAAGUGCUUGAAUUUAUUUUGUGCAAGAAGUUUUUCUGGAAGAAAUUCCUCUCUGGUCCCAUAAUGUGUUAUUUCGCCAACACUUCGUGGACUAUGCUUGAUUUACGUUAGUUACUUGCAUUUACGCGUUAUGUUAAGGGUUUCCCGCGUGAGGUAAUUUUUUGUUGUACGUUGCCAUGAUGUUUAUGCACGCACAAAACUACUACGGUACACAAUGUAACCUUGCUCUCACUCGAAAUGUGUCCCCACAUUAAGUCCUUGAAUUUGAGGGUAUUGGACCUGGAAAGUCCUUGAAAGGUUUUUGAAUUUGAAGUUAACCAAGCUGUGGGAACGCUGUAUUAACAACUAUCCAAACUGUUUUAGACCUAAAAGAGUCUUUGUAGACCUAUGUUACCCUUAAAUGUCAGAGAAAAGAACAGAAUCAGAGAUUAAUUUUUUCUUAUAAAAAAAAUUGUACUUUGCAUAUUAUACUAUAAAAACACAAUUAUAGUUGAUUUUAGUUUAUCAUAGUUGAUCAUAACUAGAGAUGAAAUGGCAUGAAAAUUUCAUUUCAUGAUUAUAGUGACCAAAAUGAUCACGGUUAUCACAGAAUCCUGUUCAAAAAUGGUUGUAAAGCUGCAACCAUGCAGCUUUACAGGGGGUAUGGCUUAUCUAAAUGAGAUGUAAAUGAGCCCUAUUGUCACUCCCAGCAGGUGAGAACAGGUGAGAACUGCACAAUCUUUAGAGGCCAUUUUCUCCCUUUUUGAGCUCUUUUGAGUGCCUACCUUCAAAUGGCCACAACUUCUCCAAAUAUUAUCAGAUUUCCAUGUGUUACACAUCGUUGAAAAGCUUGGAGACUACACUUUCAGAAUCUGUGAAUAACUCAAAAUGCCCCAGAACCGACUUGUGUCCCUACUUUCCAUGAUUGGUCACAUAUAGAAGAGGAGAUUAACAAGGAUGACACGGAUUGUGAGAAAUUACGUGAACUGUUGUCAUUGCUGAGUACAAGAGAGGAAAGCUUAUAAGAACUGGACAAGGGGAUAGAGGAGGAAACAUCGACAGACGAAUGAGGGCAAGGUUGAAAGUGCUCAGGAAUAUCAAGACCAUAUUGUGUUAUGGAAAAGAAGUGCCACCCGGCUGAACCGAUGCAGGAGAGAUUCAACUGCUCGUUAAAGUGAUGUAAGCUCCAGUGCUGACAGAUCGCAAAACAGAUGGUCAGUUAAACUGCCAAAGUUGAUAACUGACAAAUUGAAUGGAGAAAUAAGUGCUUGGCAAGAAUUUUAGAACCAAUAUGCCAUUCACUUAAAUGAUGCACUGUGUAACAGAGAAAAGUUCACCUACUUGAAAUCCUACUUAACUGGAGCUGCAGCUAAGGCAGUGGCAGGGCUUAUAUUGAGUGAUAGUAACUAUGAUGCCGCAAUUACAUUGGUUAACAACAGAUUUGGAAGAAAGUAUCUUGUAGUAAAUGCACAUAUGUCCAAACGGCUGAACCUGACUCCUGUGAAAAAAAAUAAAUAAAUCAUAUGACAUCACAGCAUUAAGACAGCUGUAUGAUGAAUGUGAGAUACAGAUUCGCAGAUUAGAGUCUGCUGGCAUUCACUGUGAUUCUUAUGGCAGCCUUCUUUGCCCAAUUCUGAUGCAACUGAUCCCAAAUGACAUUGCACUCAGUUAUACAUGAAAGGCUGGCACGAAUGAUGUAUGGAGUGUACCUGAGUUCAUGGCAUUUUUGCAACUUGAAGUUCAGAGCAGAGAAAGAGCCGUUCUGCAGUCGUUGCCAUCAUCAGUCUGUGUGUGAACAAAGCAAAGAAAACCCAGAAACUUCUGGCAUGAAUUUAGAUACUGUGGUUUCAUCUGUAUCAAGUACAGUAAUUAUCAAAUCAAGAGAAUCAAACACAGUGUUGCUGCGGACAGCUAAAGCAUGGACUUUAACGUCCAGGAGGGAGAAAGAUUGUACGGUGUUUGAUAGAUGGAGGUAGGCAAUGAAGUAUUGUUCAUGAAAGUCUGGUGAGAAGUUUGGAGCUGCCAGUAAUGAGACAAGAGACAUAGAAUUGGGAGACCCAAAGGUGUGGCGGUUCAGUGACGACCAAGCGUAACACUGUAAAAAUGAUCUUAGAAAAUGUGUGGAACACACAACAGAAAAUCGAGAUUGAAGCUAUUGAGACCCCACAAGUGUCCUCAGCGGUCAUGAAGGUACCUGAUGAUCAAAUUCAAACACUGAUGAGAGAGAGGGGACUGCAGCUCACAGAUUUUCCACUUGAGGGUGCUGACACAGAACUUCUAGUGCUCAUUGGAGCAGAUUUUUACAGGAAGGUUGUAUUUGGGAAGAUUGAGAGACUAACUGAUUUCCUUGUGGCUCUGGACAGCACCUUUGGCUGGGCCAUUCAAGGUAUUGUUUCAAACUCAAGCGGAAUGGAAACUACAUGUAUGCAUGUUAGUGUAGCAGAAGACAAUCAGAUCUCAAAGCAGUUACACGCGUUUUGGGAAAUUGAAUCUCUCUGCAUCGUCCAUGACAAAACACCUAGUAUAGAAGAAGCUGAAGCACUAGAGACCUUUGAACAGACAGUGAGUUUUAAAGACAGACACUAUCUAGUGGAGUUGCCAUGGAAACAUGACAGAGACACAUCAGAACUUAAAGACAACUGUAACAUUGUCAGUUCUAAAUCUUUUCUUGAGAGUUUCAAACCUUUUUCUUGCAAUGUGCUCUAUGAGAGAUACAAUGAUGUGAUUCAAGAAUAUCUGCAGCAAGAGAUGUGAAGAGGUAAAGGACACAGCAAGAGAUGUGAAGAGGUAAAGGACACAUCAACUGUAGAGCAGGGUAGCACAGUGAAGUAUUACAUGCCAAACCAUCCAGUAAUCCGAGACGAUAAGCAAACAACAAGCCGAGAAUUGUGUUUGAUGUGUCUUCACACGAUGAGGAUUCGCCCUCCCUCAACGAUUGUUUACUUAUCGGGCCCAACUUAAACCCAGACUUACUUCAUGUGCUUAUUAAAUUCCGCCUACACAGCUGAUAUUGCAAAGGCUAUUCUGCAAAUAGGACUGAAAGAAAGGGAUAGAGAUGUUGUGAGGUUCUUAUGGACCUAUGAUCCCUCAUCACAGAACUCUAAAAGUGAGCCUUGCAUCAUGAGAAUAAACAGAGUUGUGUUUGGAGUUGCAUCUAGCCCCUUUCUGUUAGCAGCGACCAUUAGAACCCAUCUCAACCAGUAUGAGUCUGAACAGCCUUAAACUGUAGCAGUACUCCGGGAUUCACUAUAUGUGGAUGAUCUCAUUGUGAGCUUGCCUGAUGUGGAUGAAGCUUAAUUUUGUCUCAACACAAGCAAAGGCCAUCUUGUCUGCUGCAGGAAUGGAGCUACAGAAAUGGAUGACCAACUCCUCUGACCUAAGAACGAAAUGGACAAAAGACCAGAUUGAAAGCCCAGCAGAUUCAGAGACAAACAACACUGCACUGAAAGUGUUGGGAUUGAUAUGGAGGUAUGACCAUGAUGACUUUGUAUUUGACUUGCAGCAAGUGCUGGAUGUUCUAGAAAGGAAAGAGAGUUCUAAGAGAGUGUUCUUCAAAUCUCAUUAUGUAUAUUUGAUCCAAUAGGUUUCCUAACACCCUAUACUAUCCAUUUAAAAUGUUUGUUGCAGGAAAUGUGGAGCAAACCACAA